CCUCAAAAGAGGGUAGCUCUUGCAUCAUUUCCUUUGCACUUUGUGCUCUUGUGACUACAUGACAGGGUUUAAAUGGUUCAACUGUCAUAUCUAGAGGAAGUGAGCCUCCAGAUUCAGCACCUAGAAUGUCUUUCUCAGCACUCAUUUGAGGGUCAUAAUCUGACUGAUGUAUUAGAUCAAAGAGAGUGGGGAUGUCAUUACCAAGUAUCACUGAAUAUGGCAAACUGGGAACCACAGCUACCACUAACAAGUAGGUUUGACCUCCCACUGUCAGGUAAACCUCAGCAGUGGGGUACCUGUGUUCAUCUCCAUGCACACAACUUAUUGUAGCCCCAACCCCACUUAGCUUUUCUCUUGAAAUUAUGCUAGAGUGUACAAGAGUUUGGAAGCACCCAGAGUCAAGCAAAGCUUCCUCUUUGCGCCCAUUAAUUAAAACAGGGACAGUACAAGCUUUCUUUCCUACUGGCUCUGUGGCUGGUCUUGGAACUGCACACAAAAGAGAUGGUUUUGACUUAAGGGCAGGGCAAAAUUGUUGUGUAUGGCCAAAGUUAUGACAGUGAUAACAUUUAAUAUCCUGAACUGAAGACUUAAAGGAUUUCUUCACAUUGUGAGGUCUAUGGGAAGGGAACUGUCUAGAACUAGAAAGAUUUCUAGCCUGAACUUGACCAGAACCCUGUUCACCCCCAAUGGACUUACUUGGUUGGGCGUAGUGGGUGUCCCGGCUGAAGUAGGUGCUCUUGCUUCCUUUUCUGGCUGAAGUGAAAACCUCUGCGAGGCUAGCUGCUUCCUUUGCCGUCUUCGGGUCAUGCUCACGUAUCCAGAUUUCCAGCUCUGGGUUAACCAUUCUUAAAAACUGCUCCAGAAUUAUCUGCUCAGAUAUUUCUUCUACAGUUGAUUUUUCAGGUUUAAUCCAUCUUGAAAACAGGUCUUUCAAUCUUACAUAAAGUUCACGUGGCGUCUCACCUGGUUCAACUUUCAUAGAUCUGAAGCGGCAUCUGUAGGUGUCAGCAGUGAUCUCAUAUUUUGCCAGAAUUGCCUCUUUCACUUUAUCAUAGUUCUCAGAGUCUGUUACAUCCAUAAGAAUGUAGGCUGUGCGGGCUUUACCUGUCAACAGGGGAACCAGACGAAUAGCCCACUCAUCUCUGGGCCAUCGACACACGUUUGCCAUUCUUUCAAACGUAGUCAGAAAAUGUUCAAUGUCAUCUUCUGGUGACAGAGGAAAAAGUUUUGGUUCAAUUAAAGACCUGGACCCACUGGCCACUAGAAUGUCUUCACCAUUGAAUCCAUGUUCUUGUUCUUCAGAUGUUGUAGGGGGCGCUGGCGCCUCUGGUGGAUUAGGCUUAUCAAUUACAGCAUUAACUUGUAGCUGGAUUUGCUGAAAUUGAUGCUGCAUGCCUUUCCACCUUUGCUCCUGACGUGACAAAUCCUUCUCCCACUUUUGGUCUCUGGCUGCUUGAGACCGCAUAAGAGAUUUCACCAACCCUGUCAACUCCUCCAAUUUGUCCUCAGGGCUUGUUGCUGCCAUGGCAUCUAGCUCAGAUGAAGCUCCAACUCCUUCAUCAGGCUGCUCCUCUUGGCCUGGCUUUCUUCCACCUCUUGUCAUCAUCUUCUCACUGUGGCAUGAGUGACACACUUCUGACACCACUUGUAAUAGGGCAGCCCUUAGCGGCUGGAAACACAGUGAGAUGGACGAAGGCAAGUGCAGUGGAACAAAAGUAUUUAUUUCCCAUACAGCUCUCCUUACAACAAUUCACUUGUCGAGCUUCUUCACAGCACUAUAUAUCCCUCUCUAAUGACAACCAGCAGCCUUAAAUAUGUUCAGCUGUCACAGACUAAACCAUUAUUCCACUCUUAGGUAAAUUCUUAAAUCCCAACCUUCCACCACAGUAUACAAUAUAUCAAUUAGAAUAAAUAAAUACAUAAAUACAUUUCACAUUUUCAUAUUAAUAAAUAUUUCACACUUUAAUUCUACACCAAACCCAAUAUUAUAAAAACCCAGAAACCCAAGCACAAAAAGAUUCACCACACUCUCUUAACCAAUGGUCUCUCCCGGAACCUUUAAAUGGUGUCUGGACCCCCGGGGAAACAUUUGCCCAAACACCCUGAAGAGGACACAGGCAAGAAAGACAACCACCACAUUCCUUGAUGAGGAGCAGCUGUGCAGGAUCUGAAUCAAGGCUACCAACUGAUUUUAAAAUUCCCAAUAAAUAAUCAAUAAAUAUU